GUCUCAAAGAUUUAGCCAUGCAUGUCUAAGUAUAAAUCGUUUAUACAGGUGAAACUGCGAAUGGCUCAUUAAAUCAGUUAUAGUUUAUUCGAUAGUACAAUUACUACUUGGAUAACCGUGGUAAUUCUAGAGCUAUACAUGCUAAAAGUCCCGACUUCUGGAAGGGACGUAUUUAUUAGAUAAAAACCAAUAAC
rnacentral:rRNA from 1 species